rfam:TPA: Bos taurus chromosome 2, whole genome shotgun sequence.
UCCCUGGUGGCUCAGAUGGUAGAGAAUUUGCCUGCAAUGCAGGAGACCUGGGUUUAAUCCCUGGGUUGGGAA